AGCUCCAAUAGCGUAUAUUAAAGUUGUUGUGGUUAAAAAGCUCGUAGUUGGAUUUCGGCGGGUAGUGGGUGGUUUGAAUUGCUUCAACACUGACUUUUUUACCCGUGGGUUUUGCCCGAAUCUAGCGGGGGGUCUUUACCGAUUGUCUUUUGGAACUGGCAGGUUUACUUUGAAAAAAUUAGAGUGCUCAAAGCAAGCUUACUGCUUGAAUAGUUGCGCAUGGAAUAAUAGAAUAGGAAGUCGUUUCUAUUUUGUUGGUUUUCGGAAAUCGACUUAAUGAUUAAUAGGGAUAGUCGGGGGCAUUCAUAUUCAAACGACAGAGGUGAAAUUCUUGGACCGUUUGAAGAUGAACUAAGGCGAAAGCAUUUGCCAAGAAUGUUUUCA
rnacentral:rRNA from 1 species